GGGGAAUUUUCCGCAAUGGGCGAAAGCCUGACGGAGCAAUACCGCGUGAGGGAGGAAGGCUCUUGGGUUGUAAACCUCUUUUCUCAAGGAAGAACACAAUGACGGUACUUGAGGAAUCAGCAUCGGCUAACUCCGUGCCAGCAGCCGCGGUAAUACGGAGGAUGCAAGCGUUAUCCGGAAUGAUUGGGCGUAAAGCGUCCGCAGGUGGCUAUGUAAGUCUGCUGUUAAAGAGUGAGGCUCAACCUCAUAAGAGCAGUGGAAACUACAUAGCUAGAGUGCGUUCGGGGCAGAGGGAAUUCCUGGUGUAGCGGUGAAAUGCGUAGAGAUCAGGAAGAACACCGGUGGCGAAAGCGCUCUGCUAGGCCGCAACUGACACUGAGGGACGAAAGCUAGGGGAGCGAAUGGGAUUAGAUACCCCAGUAGUCCUAGCCGUAAACGAUGGAUACUAGGCGUGGCUUGUAUCGACCCGAGCCGUGCCGUAGCUAACGCGUUAAGUAUCCCGCCUGGGGAGUACGCACGCAAGUGUGAAACUCAAAGGAAUUGACGGGGGCCCGCACAAGCGGUGGAGUAUGUGGUUUAAUUCGAUGCAACGCGAAGAACCUUACCAAGACUUGACAUGUCGCGAACUUUGGUGAAAGCUAAAGGUGCCUUCGGGAGCGCGAACACAGGUGGUGCAUGGCUGUCGUCAGCUCGUGUCGUGAGAUGUUGGGUUAAGUCCCGCAACGAGCGCAACCCUCGUUUUUAGUUGCCAGCAUUAAGUUGGGCACUCUAGAGAGACUGCCGGUGACAAACCGGAGGAAGGUGGGGAUGACGUCAAGUCAGCAUGCCCCUUACGUCUUGGGCUACACACGUACUACAAUGCUUUGGACAGAGGGCAGCAAGCCGGCAACGGCAAGCAAAUCCCGUAAACCAAAGCUCAGUUCAGAUCGCAGGCUGCAACUCGCCUGCGUGAAGGAGGAAUCGCUAGUAAUUGCAGGUCAGCAUACUGCAGUGAAUUCGUUCCCGGGCCUUGUACACACCGCCCGUCACACCAUGGAAGCUGGCAACGCCCGAAGUCAUUACUCCAACCAUUCGUGGGGGAGGAUGCCUAAGGCAGUGCUGGUGACUGGGGUGAAGUCGUAACAAGGUAGCCGUACCGGAAGGUGUGGCUGGAUCACCUCCUUUAUAGGGAGACCGAAUCCACUCAGAAAUCGAAAGCGGAUUGUGAAUAGAUGAUGAGAUGGUCAUUCCUAGGUCGGUCGUAGAUACUUGAGUUGAGCUUUCAAACUAUAUAUGGUUCGAUUUGGGCUAUUAGCUCAGGUGGUUAGAGCGCACCCCUGAUAAGGGUGAGGUCCCUGGUUCGAGUCCAGGAUGGCCCACCUGAAUCAAUUAAAAAUGUCAAAUGAAAAUUAAAAAUGUCAGAUAAGGUCUUAAAUUUUUAAUUAUCAAUUUGUAAUUUUUAAUUAUUUAGCGGGGGUUUAGCUCAGUUGGUAGAGCGCCUGCUUUGCAAGCAGGAUGUCAGCGGUUCGAGUCCGCUAACCUCCACCUGUAAAAAGCCAAAAACAAAAGGGAAAAAACUCAGCAACGUGACAUAGAGCAAAAAGAGAUUGUCAGACUGUCCUUGAGAAAGUCUCAGCCAGAACCUUGAAAACUGCAUAGUAACGCGAAAAAUGUAGGUAGUCAUGAGUCAGUAGUUAGUAAUCAAAAGCAAAGCAAUUGAAAACUAACAACUAACAAUAGACACUCACAGACAGCAAUUGUAUAGUGGUCAAGCUAAUAAGGGCUGACGGUGGAUACCUAGGCACACAGAGA
rnacentral:misc_RNA from 1 species